AAAAAAUACUCGCAAGGGACUACCAUGGCACUUAUCCUAGAUGGGUGGCAGGUCGGAUCCUGCGAAGGAGAGGU
rnacentral:pre_miRNA from 1 species